UCGCACGAGAACGCUUCGGCUUGCCGAAGCCAGUACAGUGGCGCACGGGUGAGUAACGCGUGGGUAAUCUACCUUCGACUCGGGGAUAACCCUUCGAAAGGGGGGCUAAUACCGGAUAAUAUACACGGCACUUAGGAGCUGUGUAUCAAAGGUGGCCGCUACAUGUAAGCUACCGAUUGGAGAUGAGCCCGCGUACCAUUAGCUAGUUGGUGGGGUAAAGGCCCACCAAGGCAACGAUGGUUAGCUGGUCUGAGAGGAUGAUCAGCCACACUGGAACUGACACACGGUCCAGACUCCUACGGGAGGCAGCAGUGAGGAAUUUUGCGCAAUGGGGGCAACCCUGACGCAGCAACGCCGCGUGAGUGAUGAAGGCUUUCGGGUCGUAAAGCUCUGUCAAGUGGGAAGAACCUGCGAGGUGUUAAUAUCGCCUUGCACUGACGGUACCACUGAAGGAAGCACCGGCUAACUCCGUGCCAGCAGCCGCGGUAAUACGGGGGGUGCAAGCGUUAUUCGGAAU
rnacentral:rRNA from 1 species